GACGAACGCUGGCGGCGUGCUUAACACCUGCCAGUCGAACGGAAAGGCCCUGCUUUUGUGGGGUGCUCGAGUGGCGAACGGGUGAGUAACACGUGAGUAACCUGCCCUUGACUUUGGGAUAACUCCAGGAAACUGUGGCUAAUACCGGAUAGGAGCUCCUGCUGCAUGGUGGGGGUUGGAAAGUUUCGGCGGUUGGGGAUGGACUCGCGGCUUAUCAGCUUGUUGGUGGGGUAGUGGCUUACCAAGGCUUUGACGGGUAGCCGGCCUGAGAGGGUGACCGGCCAAAUUGGGGCUUGAAUAGGGCCCGGACUCCUACGGGAGGCAGCAGUGGGGAAUAUUGCACAAUGGGCGGAAGCCUGAUGCAGCAACGCCGCGUGCGGGAUAACGGCCUUCGGGUUGUAAACCGCUUUCGCCUGUGACGAAGCGUGAGUGACGGUAAUGGGUAAAGAAGCACCGGCUAACUACGUG
rnacentral:rRNA from 1 species